UGCAGUCGACGGUAACAGGUCUUCGGAUGCUGACGAGUGGCGAACGGGUGAGUAAUACAUCGGAACGUGCCCAGUAAUGGGGGAUAGCUCGGCGAAAGCCGGAUUAAUACCGCAUACGCCCUGAGGGGGAAAGUGGGGGACCGCAAGGCCUCACGUUAUUGGAGCGGCCGAUGGCUGAUUAGCUAGUUGGUAGGGUAAAGGCCUACCAAGGCGACGAUCAGUAGCUGGUCUGAGAGGACGAUCAGCCACACUGGGACUGAGACACGGCCCAGACUCCUACGGGAGGCAGCAGUGGGGAAUUUUGGACAAUGGGGGAAACCCUGAUCCAGCAAUGCCGCGUGUGCGAAGAAGGCCUUCGGGUUGUAAAGCACUUUUGUCAGGGAAGAAAUCCUUUGGGCUAAUACCCUAGGGGGAUGACGGUACCUGAAGAAUAAGCACCGGCUAACUACGUGCCAGCAGCCGCGGUAAUACGUAGGGUGCAAGCGUUAAUCGGAAUUACUGGGCGUAAAGCGUGCGCAGGCGGUUGUGUAAGACAGGUGUGAAAUCCCCGGGCUUAACCUGGGAAUUGCAUUUGUGACUGCACGACUAGAGUGUGUCAGAGGGGGGUGGAAUUCCACGUGUAGCAGUGAAAUGCGUAGAUAUGUGGAGGAACACCAAUGGCGAAGGCAG
rnacentral:rRNA from 1 species